GAAAUGCGAUACCUAGUGUGAAUUGCAGCCAUCGUGAAUCAUCGAAUCUUUGAACGCACCUUGCGCCCCUUGGUAUUCCUUGGAGCAUGCCUGUUUGAGUAUCAUGAAAUUCUCAAAGCAAAUCUUUUGUUAAUUCGAUUGGUUUUGUUUUGGACUUGGAGGUCUUGCGGAUUCACGUCUGCUCCUCUUAAAAACAUUAGCUGGAUCUCAGUGAGCUCGGUUCCACUCGGCGUGAUAAGUAUCACUCGCUGAGGACACCCCUAAAAAAGGUGGCCGGGAUUUGCAGAUGAACCGCUUCUAAUGGUCUAUUCAAUUGGACAACAUACUUUAUGAUCUGAUCUCAAAUCAGGUAGGACUACCCGCUGAACUUAAGCAUAUCAAUAAGCGGAGGAAAAGAAACU
rnacentral:rRNA from 1 species